UCAAAAAUAAAUAAAUAAAAAUAAAUAAAUAAAACAGCACUCUCCUCUCUCUCUCUUGUUCCUGCUUUUGGCGUGUGAGAGGCCGGCUCCCCCUUUGCCUCCCACCAUGAUUGGAAGCUUCCUCAGGUCUCACCAGGAACAGAUGCCAGCACCAUGUUUCCUGUACAGCUGCAGAACCGUGAGCCAAGACAGAGUCUCACUCCCUUCACCGAGGCCGGUGUGCAGUGGUGCUAUCAAGGCUCGCUGCAGCCCCAACGUCCUGGGCUCAGGUGAUCCGUCCACCUCAGACUCCUGAGUUACUGCGACUACAGAUGAUGGCCCUCCUUGUUCCUUUGCCUUCCCUCCCAUCCAGUCGUAACAGUGGACAUUAAACUGGUGUCUUGAUGUCCAAGCCCCUUCCCUUGCCUGCUGCCGUCUGCCCAGUGGCCAGUCCACACACAUGGCAGGGCUCACAGGGACUGGUGGGUAAAGGAGGAACCAGAUCACCUCCAAGGAGAGAUGGCUGCUAACUCACCUCCAGGCUCUGCCCCAGCAGCCAGGGCUGCCUGACUUUCUAGAACACUUGACUCUCCAGCAGCAAUCAUCUGAAAGCCUGAAAAGGAGAAGAAACAUGGCCAGGCGCGGUGGCUCACACCUGUAAUUUCUGCACUUUGGGAGGCCA